GAAAUGCGAUAAGUAAUGUGAAUUGCAGAAUUCAGUGAAUCAUCGAAUCUUUGAACGCACAUUGCGCCCGCCAGUAUUCUGGCGGGCAUGCCUGUUCGAGCGUCAUUUCAACCAUCAAGCCCCCGGCUUGUGUUGGGGACCUGCGGCUGCCCGCAGGCCCUGAAAAACAGUGGCGGGCUCGCUGUCACACCGAGCGUAGUAGCAUACAUUCUCGCUCAGGGCGUGCUGCGGGUUCCGGCCGUGAAACGACCUUCAUAACCCAAGGUUGACCUCGGAUCAGGUAGGAAGACCCGCUGAACUUAAGC
rnacentral:misc_RNA from 1 species